rnacentral:ribozyme from 14 species
UUUUCUUUUUCUUUUUUUCUUUUUUUCUUUUUUCUUUCCUUUUUUUUUUUUAACCUGCCGUUGAGAUGGAGAGGCUGCAAGAAAGAGUCCUGAAGCAGAAAAGCCUGGAGUGCUGGAAGU